rnacentral:rRNA from 1 species
GAUGAACGCUGGCGGCGUGCCUAAUACAUGCAAGUCGAGCGAACAGACGAGGAGCUUGCUCCUCUGACGUUAGCGGCGGACGGGUGAGUAACACGUGGAUAACCUACCUAUAAGACUGGGAUAACUUCGGGAAACCGGAGCUAAUACCGGAUAAUAUAUUGAACCGCAUGGUUCAAUAGUGAAAGACGGUUUUGCUGUCACUUAUAGAUGGAUCCGCGCCGCAUUAGCUAGUUGGUAAGGUAACGGCUUACCAAGGCAACGAUGCGUAGCCGACCUGAGAGGGUGAUCGGCCACACUGGAACUGAGACACGGUCCAGACUCCAACGGGAGGCAGCAGUAGGGAAUCUUCCGCAAUGGGCGAAAGCCUGACGGAGCAGCGCCGCGUGAGUGAUGAAGGUCUUCGGAUCGUAAAACUCUGUUAUUAGGGAAGAACAAAUGUGUAAGUAACUAUGCACGUCUUGACGGUACCUAAUCAGAAAGCCACGGCUAACUACGUG